AGCAUGUGCCUGGUGUCGCCAACCGAACGGUCCCUCCUAAAAAUCGGUGGCCCCUGCCUUCACUGCGCAUGCCAUUUCAGAGGUCAGCAGCAAUAUUGAGUACUUGCAUCACGUGACCACGGGUCAUGUGACCUGUGUCGGCCAUGUUGGCGGUGACUACAAUGCGGUAAAUAAGUCUUCAAUUGUGAUAAAUCUUCAACGAUCGGCGAUGAUAACACAUGGUUUAACACUCUCCAGUGAUGUUAGUCAUCUGCAAGGUGAAUAUCGGGACAGGUACAUCGAGAAACUUCAUCAGGGAGGCCUGGAAAACGAUGUUUACCUUUUGCCGAGUGGUUUGUUUACUGACGUCAUCAAGUGCAGCGCUGCGUGUCUUCCCAACUUCACACUGCACGAUCUGUAUCAUUAUGUGAUUAACGAUGUCUCAAGAUAGACUGGACACGAUCUGAAGGCCUACAAGAGUCUGGAUGCCUAUCAGUACUUCGUGUCAGGAUGGGUGACUAGCCUCAAUCAGUGGAUUCUACCAGCAGUUUCAGGUCGUCAUCUCAUCACAGCAAAGGUUCAUCAUUCAUGUGCGCUGUCUGCUGAACAACUGAAACCAUGGGCCAUUGUAGACAAGGAUGUGACUGUACUGUGUGGGCAUUGCACAUGUAAAGCUGGCUUGGGAGAAGUCUGCUCACACAUAACUGCCAUGCUCUUUGCUCUCGAGUCAGCUGUGCGUCAUGUACAAGCCAAGAGCUGUACUGAUGGUCCAAGACAGUGGGGACAUCAAGGGACCAUCAAGACAGGCAAGGACCUCUUUGCCACAGGUGCUGCCAUAGAUUAUCCUGCCAAGAAAAGGAGCACAACUGGCACAGGUGCAGAUGUAGAACAGAAGAAAAGAAGACCAGAGACACCACCAGUGUCAGCUGAUGAAAGUAGACUGUUCUACGAUGCCCUGACAAAUUCUGGUGUUAAGCCAGGCUUGCUGUCAAUACUACCAGAGUACUGUAGAGACUGUUCCUAAACCAGUUGCCUUGUGCUUGCCAAAGCCCCUGACAGACCUCUACAAUGCAAACCACAGAAAGCUCUCUCCCAUGGACCUUGUUAAGGAGUGUGACAGGUUUUUGCUUCAAUAACAGUAACUCAGGAACAGGCUGUGAAGAUCGAACAGGAGACGAGGCAACAGGCAAAGUCAAAGUUAUGGUUUUCCCUCAGAGCAGGAAGGAUCACCACUUUGCGGUUCAAGGAUGCGGCACGAACCGACCCAGCAAACCCAUCAAAGAGUUUGGUCAGGUUGAUCUGUUACCCUGACAGUUCCAAGUUUUCAACAGCUGCCACAUGGUAUGGGUGUGAAAAUGAAGACCGUGCCAGACAAGUGUAUGCCACGUUCGCGAAAACACAACACCUGGACUUCAAGGUCAAUGAAUGUGGCUUGCACAUUAACCCAGCCUUCCCAUUUCUUGGGGCCUCUCCAGAUAGCUUGGUGUCCUGUGCAUGUUGUGGCGAUGGACUGCUAGAAAUCAAAUGUCCUUUUGCAAGCAAGGAUGUUGGCAUUGUCACAGCUGCGCAGUCCAAAAUUCAGCUUGAAGGGCACUGAUGGAAGCUUGGAGCUCAGAAAAGACCACAGUUAUUAUUAUCAAGUGCAGUCACAGCUGUUUGUCACGGGCCGAGAAUACUGCGACUUCGUGGUGUGGACGGAAAGUGCAGAAUUCUGUAUUGUGCGUGUUCAACCUGACUCUGCCUUUUUUUAUUCUGCACUUGAAAAUGUCACAUAUUUUUACAAACUUGACAUUUUGCCUGAACUGUUAGGAAAGAAAAACACCUGUGCCCAAGUCACCAGCCAUACAGUUGUGAACCAGGACAAGACUAGGUGUACAUGGUAUUACUGCAAAGUAACUGUAAGAACACCAGACGUGAUAUGUUGUCAGUACACGACCUGCACAAUCAACCACUUUCAUCUCAAAUGUUUAGGACUAAAGACAGUGCCCAAGUGAAAGUGGUUGUGUACAGACUGUCGAAUAAUUGACAAUGCAAAAAAGAAGUCACAAAAGUCAUAACCAAAUUUCUGUUAUUACAAACAAUGCAUCGUGACUGUUGUUGCUUUAGACAGAAAUGCACUGUAUUCUAGUAUGAUAAAUUACCUGUAGUUCACAAGAUAUUGUGUAUAGGUCUGUAUAUAUAUAUUUUGUAUACAUUCUUUGAAAAUUUUAUUUGAUUAUUUGAGUUUACUACCUUAAAAAAGAGACUACUAAUGUACCAUGUACAGCUACUCAGCACUUAUACAUAUUGAAGGGAUAUCAUAUUAUUUUCUUAAGUCUUAACACCUAUAAAUUUUGAAAACUAACAUAAGCAUGAUAAUAAUAUGAACAAUACAUUAAUUUUACAUCAUUUCAGGAAGAUUAACUGAAAGCUAAUCAAAUGGAACCACAGAUGGACAAGUGUUUGUUAAAGCACAAGCUACACGAACAAUCUUGUCGAGAGUAGUAAAUUCCUCAUUGUCUGUGUUAUGCAGGAGUGUAAUAGGUACAGGACCCUGCAGCAUUGUGUACUUCUGUCGUGCAACUCCGAUUACUCGCUCCACGUGAAUCCGUACUGAAGCCAACUUUCUAGUGUCCUCAAGUUCAUCUGCUCCUAAUUGUUUCUUACCCCUUGUGAAUGCAGGAAUUUCCACUCGAGUACAAUAA